rnacentral:rRNA from 1 species
AACAAACGCUGGCGGCGUGCCUAACACAUGCAAGUCGUACGAGAAAGGGUCCUUCGGGGCCUGAGUAAAGUGGCGCACGGGUGAGUAACGCGUGGAUACUCUGCCCUUCAGUUGGGAAUAACUCAUCGAAAGGCGGGCUAAUACCGAAUAAUGCUGUGAGACCUCGGUUGAUCAGCCAAAGAGAGCCUCUGCUUGCAAGCCCUCGCUGAAGGAUGAGUCCGCGUACGAUUAGCUAGUUGGUAGGGUAAUGGCCUACCAAGGCGACGAUGGUUAGCUGGUCUGAGAGGAUGAUCAGCCACACUGGAACUGAGACACGGUCCAGACUCCUACGGGAGGCAGCAGUGAGGAAUCUUGCGCAAUGGGGGCAACCCUGACGCAGCAACGCCGCGUGAGUGAGGAAGGUCUUCGGAUCGUAAAGCUCUGUCGGAUGGAAAGAACCGCAUAGGGGUAAACAGCCCCUGUGUCUGACGGUACCAUCAAAGGAAGCACCGGCUAACUCCGUGCCAGCAGCCGCGGUAACAC